rnacentral:rRNA from 1 species
GAUGAACGCUGGCGGCGUGCCUAAUACAUGCAAGUCGAGCGAACAGACGAGGAGCUUGCUCCUCUGACGUUAGCGGCGGACGGGUGAGUAACACGUGGAUAACCUACCUAUAAGACUGGGAUAACUUCGGGAAACCGGAGCUAAUACCGGAUAAUAUAUUGAACCGCAUGGCUCAAUAGUGAAAGACGGUUUUGCUGUCACUUAUAGAUGGAUCCGCGCCGCAUUAGCUAGUUGGUAAGGUAACGGCUUACCAAGGCGACGAUGCGUAGCCGACCUGAGAGGGUGAUCGGCCACACUGGAACUGAGGCACGGUCCAGACUCCUACGGGAGGCAGCAGUAGGGAAUCUUCCGCAAUGGGCGAAAGCCUGACGGAGCAACGCCGCGUGAGUGAUGAAGGUCUUCGGAUCGUAAAACUCUGUUAUUAGGGAAGAACAAAUGUGUAAGUAACUAUGCACGUCUUGACGGUACCUAAUCAGAAAGCCACGGCUAACUACGUG